rnacentral:rRNA from 1 species
UACGGGGGGGCAAGCGUUGUUCGGAAUUACUGGGCGUAAAGGGCUCGUAGGCGGCCAACUAAGUCGGACGUGAAAUCCCUCGGCUUAACCGGGGAACUGCGUCCGAUACUGGAUGGCUUGAGUUUGGGAGAGGGAUGCGGAAUUCCAGGUGUAGCGGUGAAAUGCGCAGAUAUCAGGAGGAACACCAAUGGCGAAGGCAGCUCGCUGGGACGUGACUGACGCUGAGACGCGAAAGCGUGGGGAGCAAACGGG